rnacentral:rRNA from 1 species
UGCCAGCCGCCGCGGUAAUACGUAUGGUGCGAACGUUGUUCGGAAUCACUGGGCUUAAAGAGCACGUAGGCGGUUGAGAAAGUCUGAUGUGAAAUCCCCCGGCUCAACCGGGGAACUGCAUUAGAAACUUCUUAACUAGAGUGCAGAAGGGGAGAGUGGAAUUCCUGGUGGAGCGGUGAAAUGCGUAGAUAUCAGGAGGAACGCCGGUAGCGAAAGCGGCUCUCUGGUCUGUUACUGACGCUGAGGUGCGAAAGCUAGGGGAGCGAACGGGAUUAGAUA